rnacentral:misc_RNA from 1 species
GGUAGCAUUCCUCACGGGCGUCGGGCCGCACGGGUGCGGCGCCGAGCGUCGUUCGGUCUGGGCGCGAUUAGCGCCAGUUUCGGGCAAAUAGGGAUCGAGGACCCCGUGCCCCCAACGUUUUCAGCAUCCCCGAAGUCGGGCGAGCGUUCGCGCGCCGCAACGAGAGCGCCACGCGCAACCGAAGCGGAACACGAACGACGCCUUGGGUUCACCCGGAGCCGCGCCGUGCGAACGGGCAGCACCGAGACGAACAGUGUUACUUGGGACGAACGAAUACCAUCAACGUAGGUACGAAACACAGGAAACCGAACACGCGGACGAGGCUAAAGUCGCUCUCGCACCGACGAC